UGGGGAAUUUUGGACAAUGGGCGAAAGCCUGAUCCGGCAAUGCCGCGUGUGUGAAGAAGGCCUUCGGGUUGUAAAGCACUUUUGUCCGGAAAGAAAUCCUUGGCUCUAAUACAGUCGGGGGAUGACGGUACCGGAAGAAUAAGCACCGGCUAACUACGUGCCAGCAGCCGCGGUAAUACGUAGGGUGCAAGCGUUAAUCGGAAUUACUGGGCGUAAAGCGUGCGCAGGCGGUUUGCUAAGACCGAUGUGAAAUCCCCGGGCUCAACCUGGGAACUGCAUUGGUGACUGGCAGGCUAGAGUAUGGCAGAGGGGGGUAGAAUUCCACGUGUAGCAGUGAAAUGCGUAGAGAUGUGGAGGAAUACCGAUGGCGAAGGCAGCCCCCUGGGCCAAUACUGACGCUCAUGCACGAAAGCGUGGGGAGCAAACAGGAUUAGAUACCCUGGUAGUCCACGCCCUAAACGAUGUCAACUAGUUGUUGGGGAUUCAUUUCCUUAGUAACGUGGCUAACGCGUGAAGUUGACCGCCUGGGGAGUACGGUCGCAAGAUU
rnacentral:rRNA from 1 species